CUGCACCCGAGACAUGUGGAAAUUCCAGGGCCAGGGGUCGAACCUGCGCAGCAGCUGUGAUCGCACCAGCAAUCCUUAACCCGCUGCAUCCCCCGGGGAGCUUCCAAAGCUGAAUACUCCUUAGAGGGUAGUUGUGUGGGUUGUGGAAAUCCACGAAGAGCACUUGGAGGAGAACCACCAAAGGCUGUUUAUUUCAGCAGUUGCUCGAGCAAGGGAGUCAGACACAUCGCUUGCGUUCGGCAGAGACUCACAGGCUGGGCGGGGAGGGCUUCGGGGAGGACCAGCGGGAAAGGCGGGAAUAUGCCUGCCUGGCUGGGUGGCUGUUGGCCAGGGAGGCUGGCUGCGGGAUGACUAGAAGAGGGAGGGGCAUCGCCUCUGUGAUUGGCGAGGGGGGCACAAUUUGGCUUUUUUGGAUUGGUCCUAAGCUGGAAGCGGAGGCAAAAGCUCGGGAAGCUGGCAGUUCUCCAUCAAGUCCUGGCCAGCCGGGGCCAGGCGGAGGUCUGCCAUUUGCCUUCCUGGACUGGAAGCUACAGACUGUGGAUCAGUUCUGUUUUAUAUGUGACUGGGCUGUUGUCCAUUUGUCGAUCCAGUCUUGGUGUCAACUCCUGCGAUCCUCACCAAAGAACCCUAGAGCUGGUGGGAUUAUGAUGUCAUUUUAGAGAAAAGGAAACCGAGGCACAGAGAGGUUAAGGGACAUGCCCAAGGUCACCCAGCAUGUGCGUGCGUGCGAGGUUAGCCAGGCCCCGGGCUUCAGAGCUGGGUCCCUUCCCACCUGUAAGGUGAGCGCAGGACUAGAGAUGCCACCUUAAACUCCAGCCUGAGCUCUGCUUGCUCCUGGCUUUAUGACCCAGGGCAGGGAACCCAGGCAUCCUGCCUCCUCCACAGGGCUGCUUGCAAAGUGCCAGUUCCAUGGGCACAUACUGAGUACUUCCUGUAUGCUGCAAUGAUUAUUCACCAUAUGCCAGGCCCCAUUCUAUGCACCUGACAUUCUGUAAAUUCACAUAAUCCUUAGGGUGCCCAAGAGCAGGUAAGGAUCUGAAACUUGGCCAAGUUCACAAGCAGGAUCCUGUGGGAUCCGGGCCACCGAGGGUCAGAGUCCCUAUUUUAUUUUACUUUUAACAAAAUGUUUUGGCCACACCCAAGUUCCCGGGCCAGGGACUGAACCUGUGCCACAGCAGUGACCACACCGAAUCCUUAACCACUAGGCCACCAGGGAUCUCCCAGAGUCUGUGUUUUAAUCCCUACACUUCCUGCCUCUCAGGUGAAGCAGCAGCCGUGAACACAUAGCCGCGGGGGCAUCGGGGUGGCACAAAUCCUCAGCCAAGGCCUGAUAAGGUGGGGUGCUUCUCCUUGGGCUUCUCCUGCAUGGGCUUCUGCAAUGAGGGGCCCUGGAAAUGGGGGACCAUGGAGAGAAAGAGCCACCCCCUCCGUGGAGGGACAACCCUCACAGAAUUAGGCGGACAGGCAUCUGAGGGCUUUGCUGCCGUAGGGCUGGGGUGGAACCUCCCUCCAAGGGAAGAGGCCUGUGGCCACCCCUGCCCCCAGGUUCCCUGCUGGAUCACAAGCACCUGGCCAAGGGGAGCCUCUAGAAGAUGCCACCUGCAGGGCCCCUCGGCAGUCCCUGGCUUUCCAACCUCAGGGCCUUCCUUCCCAGCUCCUAUUCGUCAUCCCUCUCUCCACGUCCCCAAGUUUGCAUGUCUGCGUGUUGCAUCAUUUGGCCAAGGUGGUGACACAUCCCGGAAUCAUGUUUAUUCU
rnacentral:lncRNA from 1 species